rnacentral:rRNA from 1 species
UACAGAGGGGGCAAGCGUUGUCCGGAAUUACUGGGCGUACAGCGCGCGCAGGCGGACCGCCACGUGCCGUGUGACAGACCACCGCUCAACGGUGGAGGGCCAUGGUACACGAGCGGUCUGGAGGCAGAGGAGAGGGAUGUGGAAUGCCCGGUGGAGCGGUGGAAAUGCGUAGAGAUCGGGCGGAACACCAGCGGCGAAGGCGGCAUCCUGGCUCUGUUCUGACGCUGAGGCGCGAGAGCGUGGGGAGCAAACUGG